AAUAAUUUUAUAUGUAUAUUAAAAACUCGGCAGUUCAUUAUUUGACAACAAACUAAACUUAAGUAAUAAGUACCAAUGAAAGAGCUUAUUGUUCUUGUCCUCUUCGCUCUCUAUUCGCGGCUCUCAAUCGAUCUAAAGUUACAUUAUCGCAUCAGAUGAUUAAUCAAUUUAUAUUCCGCUGGAAGUAACUUUAAUAAAUGGAUCGUCAUGCGAAAAGAUUAUAGCAUAAUUUCAUCGGGGCAAAACGAGACCAGACUGACUCUACUAGGGCGCUUCAAUCGUCUAUAAUUGCCCGAUUAGUAAUUUAAAUAUUAUGCAAAGUAAACUGAGUUUAUUAACUUGGAUGAUUAAAUACUGUCCCGAAGAAAUGAGAA